rnacentral:tRNA from 1 species
GGGAUUGUAGCUCAGUGGUAGAGUGCUUGCCUGGCACAUGUGAGGCACUAAGUUUUAUCUUCAGCACCACAUAAAAAGAAAUAAAUAAGAUAAAGAUAUUGUGUCCAUCUACAACUAAGAAGUAAAAAAUAAAAUAAUUAUGCAGUUGUUGAGUGAAAUGUUUUGUAAAUGCCAAUUAGAUCAAGUCUUCUGUAUCCUU